CGAACGCUGGCGGCGUGGCUAAGACAUGCAAGUCGAACGGACUAUGUAAUUGAGUAAUCGAGCACAUAGUUAGUGGCGAAAGGGUUAGUAAUGGCUAGGUAACGUACCCCCUGCUCUGGGAUAGUUAUCCGAAAGGAUAAGUAAUACCAGAUAAUAUCGUAAAUCGAUAGGUUUACGAUCAAAGAUUUAUCGGGAGGGGAGCGGCCUAGUUCCCAUCAGCUUGUUGGUGAGGUAAUGGCUCACCAAGGCUAUGACGGGUAGCGGGACUGAGAGGUUGGCCCGCAACAUCGGGACUGAGACACUGCCCGGACCUCCACGGAGGGCUGCAGUAACGAAUAUUGUGCAAUGGGCGAAAGCCUGACACAGCGACGCCGCGUGUAGGAGGAAGUCCCUCGGGAUGUAAACUACUGUCAGGGUGAAGAAAGUCUGUUUCGGCAGAUUGAUCUAACCCGGAGGAAGUCACGGCUAACUUC
rnacentral:rRNA from 1 species